UUUUUUUUAAAAAAAUGGCCAAAAAGUGAUUAUUAGAUGCUCAUAUUCCAAAGAUCACUCCAUGAAAAUGAUCGGAUCCUACCUUACCUUGUGCACUACCCCUUCGGAUGGUACGAGAAAGGUAAACGUGCAAGUCUCAUUUGGAUUAUAUAUCCGAGACAUGGGGUGGUUUAUUCCUAACACGGGAUCCCCUAUGUGGCAUUCCCUUUCUAGGGUUUAUGCAUGAUGCCAUUUAUUAAAGCGAUGUAAAUAUGUGACAAAUAUGGCCUAAAGGACAUAAAUAACGUAUCGGGGGAAAAAGGUCUAAAAAUGAAAUGUAUUUAUUGAAAAUCAAGUGUAAUAACUGAAAUUUAAACAUGUGAGUCAUCUAGUGGGUAAGUCACUAAAAGAGUGCCAAAGAGGCCUCUUAUUGCUAGGGCACAUGAAUGCAAACCAAGGAAACAAUGAAAUGGUUAGUGCAGUUGAUAGUACACAUAACACAUUGGGAGCAAUUAAGAAAAGAAAUACAAUAAAGACAAGUAAAAGGGGUGGAACCCCUUCCCUCGUGCCUAAUGUGCUUAAAAGGGUGAAGUUGACUCUAACCUAGGCAAACUAAUAUGGAUGCAUGAGGCUGGGGCUCACUAAUGCAACUAGACUCGAUAAGUCUCGGCUCUCAAGCCUUCAGACCUAAAGGCGAAGGGUCAUCACUCCCAGGGCCUUUGAUCGGUGGCUCGAGUGAUCCCUUAGGUAGCGCUAUGGGCGCAGAGCACACCAGCCGCCUACCCAAGGCGAUCGAUCCUAAUCCUACAAGGCGGUGUGGGAAACGCCCACGAAAAACAAAAUAAAAUGGGAUAAAAGCAAGUAAACGUGCACGUAUGAAGUGUUCCCCUAUUUUGAGGGAAGGGGUGAGAACCACACGAGGCUCUAAAGGUGACACACCCCCCCAAAUGCAAUGCAAGCGCGAGAUAAAUAAGUAAACAUACAUCCAAUCAACCAAUCACACGUACGUGAGUGAGGGAAUAGUUGGAUACGCGCACGAGGCAAAAGGCCCUAAAAAUGGAAAGUGCAACCCUAAUAUCCAAAUGCAAUGCAUAAAAAAGGGUAGAAAAAGGAAAAGAAUGGCCAAGUCAAAUGCUUGGACCCACUUAGGAAGUCCCCAGUGGAGUCGCCAACUGUCGCGCCCCACUUUUUUCCUUUUUUGGUUAAAACUAAUUACAAGUUGAUAAUAGUAAAAAUAAAUAACAAAACAAUUUAAUUAUCAUUGGACGAAAAAUAAAUAAGCUAGAAACAACAAAGUGCAAAUUCCAAUUCAUUUUUUUCAUUUUUCCAUUUUUCUUUUAAAUAAUGAAACUAAAUCCUAAACAACUAAAACAUAUUUUUUGAACACUUUUCUUUUCCCUUUGAGAAAUUCUAGCUAAAAUGGCUAAAAUAACUAAAAUUAAAAGUAAAUAAAACUAAAUGUGACGAAUAAAAAUAGAACAAAUAAAAACGAAUAGUAAAUAAAUAAAUAAUAAAACACCAAAAAUUUGGUGUCUACAUAUGUUUUGUUGCCUCCAUCAUAAUAUGAAUAAAUUUUUUGAAGUAUUUUGUAAGUUUUCCUUUUUUGAGGAGUCUGACUUUGAUUUAUUGUAACUUUAUUGCUCUAUUUUGGGAAUGGACAUUGCUAUUACUUUUGGCAUUGUGCUGUUUGGAUGCGAAAAGAUAUAAAAGUGAAUGAAUGAAAGAAUAUUAUUGAAUUGGAGGGAGGAAGUCCCCUUGGAUCAUGUUAUCUGGUCCUGUUUUGGGUUACUCCACUAUUUUUGGUCUUUUGGCGUCACUUGUUUCUCUCUUUUUUUUGGUUUCCUCUGCUUCAAAGGUAAUUCCAUCUAUGUUCAAGUUGCCAUUGAAACAUUGUUGCUGAUCUUCAGGUUUUGAUGUCAGGUGACUUGCUCCCAUUUAAUUACAUAUAGCAAAAUAAAUAAAGAAGGGGUCUCAAUUUUCAAUGAAGGCGGUAUAAUUUGACCAUUUCUGUUAACUUUGUUUAAUGCUGCUUCUUGCCCGGUUAUAGCAAGGAAAACAAAGGACAAGAGGGUUAAGGUUGUCGUACAGCAUUGAAAAUAUUCCCUUUUAUUUUUGUUUCUUUGGUCACGUACCAUUUUCAUAGGGGUGCAAAAGAAUGUAAUCAAACCAAAAACUCUAUAUUCAAAUUUGUUAAUUCAUCUAUAUGACUGUAAAAUUGCAAAAAAAAAAAUAUUUGGAUUCUUCAUUUGUCAAAGUAAUCUAAGAGUGUAAAUAGUGUAAGCAAAAUUUUGUCUUACUUUUUGUAGUAUCGAAAUUGUUAGGACUGGCCCAGAAAUAAAUAAACUAAAGUUAAAACAAAAUAAACGGUAUAACCGACCAUAUAAUGAUUAGGCGGUAGACACCGGCCAUAUAAUAAUUAGGCGGUAAAACCGAUCAUAUAAAAGGGUUGUGCCAACCCAAUAAAGACAAAUAACAAAGCAAAAUAAAAGACACAGAAAUUUACGUGGUUUGGUCAAAUUGACCUACGUCUACGAUCGGAGGAGGAGCAAUAUUUCUAUUAUGAAGAAAAAAUACAAAAGUCGUAGGAAAGUGGUUCUUAGGCCAAAAUGGCACUUACAAAAGGUUUAGGAAAUAUUCAUAAAUUCAAAACAAGAAAGCCUAAAAUAUUUGACUACAAAUGGGUUAGAUGACUCAAGAAACUAAUAGCCCAUAUAACUCCCUUGAGUGGUGCGAUUAACUUCAACGCCAAGCCCCCUAUUUAUAGGUAAACAAGGGGGCUUUCCUUCUUGAUUGCCGAUGUGGGAUGGAAAAAUUUUGCCACCAAAUUCAACCAUUGUGGGCAUUGAAAAGUCAACAAAUCUCCACCUUGGCAUAAUUUUUAGUCUCACCAUCGACAAUAGUAAAACUACUCCACCUUUUCCACAUAAGCCCCAAUGGGCCAAAUCACAUACAACAAACACCAACCAAGUCCAAGCACUGCUUGAACUUAUAAACUGGAAGAACUUUCGUAAACAUGUCAGCUGGAUUGUUCUUGGUAUUGAUUUUUUGAAUAAGAACCUUUCCUUCAGCAUUGAUAUCUCGAAUGAAGUGAUAUUUCACAUCAAUGUUUUUCGUCCUCUCAUGAUACAUCUGAUCUAUAGUCAAGUGUAUAGCACUUUGACUAUCACAGUGAAUAACCGUAGCAUCCUGAUGUAGAUUAAACUAUCCAAAUAAUCCCUUCAACCACAAGGCUUCUUUGAUUGCCUUGGUCACUGCCAUUUAUUCUGCCUCCAUGGUAGAUAGAGUCACAACGGGUUGUAAAGUAACUUUCCAACUGACUGCACAAUCCCCAAUACAGAAUACGUAGCGUGAAAGUGAUCUUCUUCUGUCAAGAUCCCUGGCAUAGUCUGAAUCUACAAAAUCAACCAGAGUAGUUUUAUUUCUUCCAAACUCCAAACAAGUGUUUGAAGUCCUUUGCAAGUAUCUGAGAAUCCACUUCACAGCCUGCCAAUGUUCUUUACCUAGACAAGACAUAUAUCUACUAACAACACUAACUGGUUGUGAAAUAUCCGGACGAGUACAAACCAUUGCAUAUAUAAUACUGCCGACUGCAUUGGAAUAAGGAACCCGUGCCAUAUAAUCUUCCUCUUCAUCUGAUUUUGGUGAUUGAGUAGCAGAUAGCCGAAAAUGGCUAGCAAGAGGAGUAGAUACUGGUUUAGUAUCUUUCAUGCCAAAAUGCUCCAAGACUUUUUCAAGGUAAUUUUUCUGGGUCAAGAACAACUUCCCUACUCCUCGAUCUCGCUUGAUAUCCAUGCCAAGAAUUUUCUUAGCUGCUCUCAAAUCUUUCAUUUCAAAUUCACUAUUUAACUGCAGUUUCAAAGUGUGAAUUUUUGACAAAUUCUUGGCAGCAAUGAGCAUGUCAUCAACAUAAAGCAGCAAAUAAAUAAAAGAACCAUCAUUUAACUUCCGGAAAUAAACACAACUAUCAUACAUGUUCCUCAAAUAACCAUGACCCAACAUAAAGGAAUCAAACCUUUUAUAUCAUUGUCAUGGAAACAGCUUCAAUCCAUAUAAGAAUUUCUUCAACAAGCAAACAUGGUCUUCCUUACCUUCAAUCUCAAAACCCUGGGAUUGUCUCAUAUAAAUUUAUUUUUCAAGUUCACCAUAUAAGACAGCUGUCUUAACGUCGAGCUGUUCUAAGUCCAAAUUAUACAUGGCAACUAAAGCAAGUAAAACACAAAUAGAGUUAUGUUUAACAACAGGUAAAAACACAUCAUUAAAAUCAACACCUUGUACCUGACUAUAGCCCUUUGCAACCAAUCGUAUUUUAUACCUUGCAUCUUUAACCCCUGGAAUACUUUCCUUCUUCUUGAAGACCCAUUUGUAUCCAAUAAUUUUCUUAUCUGAUGACGGCUUUACAAGAACUCAAGUUUCAUUCUGAUGAAGAGAUUCAAUUUUUUCAUUCAUUGCAAUCAACCACUUUGUAGAAUCAUCCCAAAAAACUGCUUCUGAAUAGGUGGAAGGCUCACCAACUGCAUCAGUUUCUUUUGCAACAGACAAAGCAUAUGCAACUAAAUUUGCAUAUCUUUGUGGUGGUCGAAUGUCUCUCCUUAGUCUAUCUCUGGCUAUGGAAUACUCCUCUUCAUCUGAACUAUUUUCAACAGUAGAUUCAGGUGCAUCUAUUGGCAUUUGAAUAGAAAAUUUGGUCUGAGAAGGACCAGAACUGCCAAUAUCAAGCUCCACCUACUUCUGUGUACUACCAGUAGUACAAGGACUAGAAAACUCCUUCUUGGAAGAUAACAUAGACAAUUCAUCAAAGGUAACAUCUCUACUGAUUACAAAUUUUGGAGAUUUGGAAUCAGGAUACCGUAAUCUAUAUCCUUUUACCCUAGAAGCAUACCAAAAAAAAAUGUACUUUUUAGUCCUAAACUCCAAUUUUCCAUCAUUCACGUGCAUAUAUGCUGGACACCCAAAAACUUUUAAAUUAGAGUAAUUAGCUGGAGUACCUGACCAAACUUCUUCAAGAGUUUUGAAAUUUAGAAAUGCAGAAGGAGAACAGUUGAUAAUACAACAGGACAUAUUGAUCGCUUCUGCCCAAAAGUCAUUUGUCAGCCCUGCAUUGGAGAUCAUACAUCUCGCUCUCUCCAAAAGCGUUCUGUUCAUACGUUCGGCCACACCAUUUUGUUGAGGCGUCAUUCUGACAGUGCGAUGCCGAACAAUUCCUUCAUUUUUGAGAAUCUAUCAAAUUCACCUCCACAAAAUUCCAUGCCAUUAUCUGUUUUCAACCGCUUAACAUGUUUUCCUGUUUGUUUCUCAAUUAAAACUUUCCAUUGUUUGAAAGUUAGGAAAACAUCAUUUUUAUUCUUAAGAAAAUAUACUUAAACUUUUCUUGAAUAAUCAUCAAUGAAAGUCAACAUGUACCUGGCACCACCUUUAGAAGGAGCACGAGAAGGACCCCAUAGAUUUGAAUGAAUGUAAUUAAGAGUACUUUUUGUCUUGUGAAUUGCUGGUGAACUGAACCUGACUCUUUUCUACUUCCCAAAAAUAUAAUGUUCACAGAAUUCUAAUGACCCGUACUUUGUCCACAAAGAAGUUCUCUUUUGUUUAGUAUGCCCAAACCUUUUUCGCUCAUGUGCCUCAAACGCAUAUGCCAUAAUUUGGUAAUGUCUGUAUCUGACAAAGAUGAUGUUAAAAUAGCAGCAGCACUUGCAACAGUAGAUCCCUGCAAAAUAUAUAAAGUACCAGAUCUGUGUGCCUUCAUAACAACAAGAGCACCUCAAGUGAUUUUGAGAACUCCACCUCCACCAGAAUACCUGUACCCAAUAGACUCAAGAGUGCCCAAAGAGAUGAGAUUUUUCUUCCAAUCUAGAACAUGUCUAACAUCUGUGAGCAUCCUCACAAUACCCUCGUACAUUUUAAUUCGGAUUGUGCCUUUGCCAACAACUUUACAAACGGCGUUGUUACCCAUUAAGACAACUCCACCUUCAGUUGAUUCAUAUGUUGAAAUCAGUCUCUAUUGGGACACAUAUGAUAUGAACAACCUGAAUCUACAAUCCACUCAUUGUUAGAUCUAAAAUUAUUUUUCGUUGCACAGAAAAUGGUUCCAUCAUUCUCAUCAACUGCAAUACUAGUUUCAGUGGUCUCACUCUUUUUCUCCUUUUACUUUUCUUUAUUUUUCAAUUUAAAGCAAUCAGAGAUAACAUGACCCUUCUUUUUACAAUAGUUGCACACCACAUUUUUAUAUUUGGAUUUGGAUCUACUUCUAUUUUCUAUAUUUCUCUUUUCGGAUCUACCCCGAACAAACAAGCCAUCGGUUUGACUCCCUCUAGUUUCCCCAAUAAUAUCCCUAUCUAUCUGCUCUUUAGAUUUUAAUGCAGAUUUAAUUUUUCGAUACGAAAUUGUUUCCUUUCCAUAAAUCAUAGUACCACGAAAAUGUUUAAAGGACUGGGGAAGGGAACACAAAAGUAAUAAGGCCUGAUCUUCAUCAUCAAUUUUUGAAUGUAUAUUCUCCAAAUCUAUAAUAAUGAAAUCAAAUUUAUUAAGAUGGGAGAGUGUAGAUGUACCUUCAGACAUCCGAAACAUAUACAAACUCUGCUUCAAAUAUAGCCGAUUCUAGACUAUUUUUUUCAUGUACAAGGCUUUCAAUUUAUCCCACAUAGUCUUGGCCGAAAUCUCCGUUGCUAGCUCCCGUAAAACUUCAUCGGAGAGAUUCAAAAUUAUGUUAGAUCUAGCCUUCUUAUCCAUUUCGGCGAAAUCCGCAUCCUUUACAUCUUCUGACUUUUUCUCGAUUUCGUGUAACACUAGAUCAACUCCAUCUUGAAUCAAAAUGGCCUCCAUCUUGAGUUGCCACAUGCCGAAAUUGACAUUCCUGUCGAAUUUCUCGACAACCGUCUUUGUUAUCGUCAUUGUUGCCACAAAAUUUGUAACUUGAAGUUUGUCUAAAAAACUGGUCAAACAGACAUGCAAGUCUCGUGAGUGGGCCCCACGGGAUAAACGGGCCCCACAAGGUUAGCGGGUCCCACUGAUAAACGGAUCCCAUAGGAUAAGUAGGCCUUACAGGAUGAACGGGUCCCACCAGAUGAACCUGUCUUGCAAAAUAUAUCAACCAACUCUGAUAGCAGUUUGUUAGGAUUGGCCCAAGAAUAAACAAACUAAAGUUAAAAUAAAAUAGCCGGUAUAACCGACCAUAUAAUGAUUAGGCGGUAGACACCGACUAUAUAAUAAUUAGGGGGUAAAAUCGACCAUAUAAAAGGGUUGUGCCAACCCAAUAAAAACAAAUAACAAAGCAAAAUAAAAGACACGAAAAUUUACAUGGUUCGGUCAAAUUGACCUACGUCCACCGUCGGAGAAGGAGCAAUAUUUCUACUAUGAAAAAGAAAUACAAAAGCCGUAGGAAAAUGGUUCUUAGGCCAAAAUGGCACUUACAAAAGAUUUAGGAAAUAUUUCUAAACUCAAAACAAGAGAGUCUAAAAUAUUUGAUUACAAAUGGGUUAGAUGACUCAAGAAUCUAAUAACCCAUAUAACUCCCUUGAGUGGUGCGAUUAACUUCAACGCCAAGCCCCCUAUUUAUAGGUAAACAAGGGGAGGCUUUCCUUCUUGAUUGUUGAUGUGGGACGGAAAAAUUUUGCCACCAAAUUCAACCAUUGUGGGCGUUGAAAAGUCAACAAAAACUACCCUCCACGGAGCAGUUGUAAUGCAUUUCAACAAUGAUGAAAAAAUGAAUAUCAAUGAUGCCAAUUUAACCAUUCCAAUUAAAAGUUAUGUAUCAAUGAAAUAGCGCAAUGAAAUAAUUAAAAUUCUUGAUCAAGGGCAAGCAAAUCAAGUGAAAAACUCCAUAUAACUGAAUAUCAAUAAUUAAAUGACAUAAAGUAAGGGAACAAAUUGGUCAAAAAGUUAAAAAGGACAACUCAAACAACAUUAACAAGAACAUUCGAGUUCCCUUAGCCUAAAGGACACUAAGUUGCUUGUUUUUUAUUUGGUAAGAUUCGAUCAAGUCCAUCCAACAAGCAAUUCAGAAGCCAUCUCUAAUGGAGAGGGAAAAGCAAAAGAAGAAAAAGGUUAGAGUGAAAAAUACUCUUAACUUUCAAACAUCUAAACAGUUUUGUGUGUAAAUUUUGAUUGUGCUCAAUUCAUGUUUAAUUUAACAUGUGAAGAGUGGUGAUGAACAACCCUAGGGGAAAGACCCUCCUAGACGCUCCCAACCUUGUAAUUAUCGGAGUUGGAUCUUUUCUCUCAAUGGAAAUUGAACUCGAUUGUUCUUGUGAAUUCAAAACCUCUGACACACAAAGGUAAUCAGCAACCUUAAGCAAAUAUGAUGGAUGAACAGACACCACGAUUAGGGAACAAACUAGUCGAUAAAGUCUGAUUUGAAUCCUAAGAUAUGAACUCAAGAAUUCAAGAGUAAGUUCGAAUAAGAAUUUGAAGGAAAAUUCAUCACGAUUUCUGGUUGUAAUCAUCUCUCAUUUCACUCAUACAAUAGGUGCCUUUUAUAGGCUAAAACUACGGCAAAUCCGGCCCACAUAAGCCUGGAAUAGAAAUUCAGUCCGCAUAUAGAGCCAACUCUUUAAGGCUUCCCGAUAAGGCCCAAUAAGUAAUAAAAUACUCAACGACCAACAACUACUAAACUAGGCAGUUUUAAAACAACUACCAACUAAGCUAACAAGUAUGAGAUCAUUCUUUCACUUUAAACGUACAAGUGAACAAGGUAACUUCAUGGUCCAUCAAAUCUUCAAACUUAGCUUGUUCCUUGCUUGUAUGGUGAAUGAUCAAGGCUCGUAAAGCUUCCCUCACCUUCUUGGUUCUUGAUCUUGUCAUCGGACCACCAAUGUUGAUCAAAGGGUUCUUGACCCAAGGUUGAAGGUGUUGCACACCCGUAUCCGCAUCAUUCCCUCUCUCCUCGAAAGGAUUUGUCCUCGAAUCGUCAAAGUCUGUAUCAAAGGCAAAAGGGGAUAGGUCAGACACAUUAAAAGAUGCGCUUAUACCAUACUCACUUGGAAGUUCCAAUUUGUAGGCAUUGUCGUUUAUCCUCUCUAGGACACGAAAAGGUCCAUCUCCUCUUGGAUGUAACUUGGUCCGUCGAGAUGCUGGAACCUUUUCCUUCCUCAUGUGCACCCAAACCCAAUCACCAGGUUCGAAUACAACAUGCUUUCUACCCUUAUUCGCAUGUUGUGCAUAUUGCGCAUUUUUCUUCUCAAUUUGAGCUUGAACUCUCUCAUGCAAGGUCCGAACAGCCUCCGGCUUUUUAACACCAUCUGCGCUUAAACACUCAUCAACAGGAAUAGGUGAUAAAUCUAGAGGGGUUAACGGCUGAAACCCAUAAACAAUUUCAAAAGGAGAAUGAUUAGUAGUAGAAUGAGUGGUUCGGUUAUAUGCAAACUCGGCAAUAGGCAAACAUUCUUCCCACUUUUUCAAGUUCUUUUGAACAAUGGCUUGAAGUAAAGCACCAAGGGUUCAAUUGGUUACCUCAGUCUGACCAUCCGUUUGAGAAUUAUUAGAAGUAGAAAACAGCAACUUAGUUCCCAACUUUCCCCAAAGUGAUUUCUAGAAAUAGCUUAAGAAUUUCACAUCCCUAUCACUUACAAUAGUACGCGAUACCCCAUGCAAUCUAACCACAUCCUUAAAGAAUAAAUCAGCAACAUGGCGCGCAUCAUUUGUUUUCCUACAAGGGAUAAAAUGAGCCAUUUUAGAAAAUCUAUCCACUACAACAAAGAUACUAUCCAUACCUCUAGAAGAUCUUGGUAAACCAAGCACAAAAUCCAUGGAUAAGUCUGUCCAAGGAGCAUGAGGUACGGGUAGAGGAGUGUACAAUCCAUGAGGAUUACUUCUUGCCUUUGCCUACUUACACUUUAAACACUUAUCACAAAUGUUAGCAACGUCACGCCUCAUUUUAGGCCAAUAGAAGUGUUCAUGCAAAAUGUCAAGAGUUUUAUCAAUGCCGAAAUGUCCCAUCAACCCUCCACCAUGGACUUCCCUAACAAGUAAUUUCCUAAGUAAACAGUUGGGAAUACAUAGGCGAUUGUCUUUGAACAAGAAACCUUCAUGCCUAUAGAACUUUUGAAAUGCAGCAUGAUCACAAGCUUGAAACACAUUAGAAAAAUCGUCAUCAUGUGCAUACAAGUCUUUAAUGUGCUCAAAACCAAAUAACCUAGUGCUCAUGUUAGUGAUCAAAAUAUACCUCCUAGACAAUGCAUCCGCAACGACAUUAUCUUUCCCCCUUCCUAUACUUAAUGAUAUAUAGAAAGGAAUCAAUAAAUGCAAUCCAUUUCGCAUGUCUUUUAUGCAACUUACCCUGAUCCUUAAGGAAUUUAAUUGAUUCAUGAUCAGUAUGUAUCACAAAUUCCUUAGACAUAAGAUAAUGCUACCAUACUUCAAGAGCACGCACAACAGCAUACAAUUCUUUAUCAUAAGUAGGGUAAUUAAGAGCUCCCCCACUCAACUUCUCACUGAAAUAUGCCAAGGGUCUAUUAUUUUGAUGUAAGACAGCCCCUAUGCCGAUCCCACUAGCAUCACAUUCAACUUCAAACGUCAAAUCAAAAUUAGGCUACGUUGAGUAGAAAUUGAUUUCUUUGCCUCUCUCGUAUUCGGCUUCUCAUAUUCGGCUUUUUCUUUGCCUCUCUCGGUUGCCUUUUCUCUCUUUCUUUUCUUGAAUACAAUUGUUCUUCAUACACUUGUGUAGGUGUCAAGGGUGAAAGAGUGAUUUUGAGGUUGUCUAUAAUGAACUUAUACUUAUUGGUGAGUCCAAUAUGAUCAGCCUGUCUAUCAUACUCCCAAGGACGCCCUAACAAGACAUGACUAGCAUGCAUAGGAAUUAAAUCACAUAAAAUUUGAUCCUUAUAUUGACCAAUAGAAAAAGCAAUUAAGGCCUGUUUGGUCACCUUGACUUCCCCCCCCCAUCAUUUAACCAAGACAAUCUAUAUGGUUUAGAAUGGUAAGUCCAGGGAAUGUGUUUUUGCUCAACAAAAUCAGCGGCUACACAAUUAGUACAAGAGGCACUAUCAAUGAUCAUAAGACAUACCUCAUCUCCAAUCUUACAUCUCGUAUGAAAGAUGUUGGUUCGUUGGAAAUUAUCUUCUUGAGCUUGUGCAUUGAGCACUCGCAUGGUCACCAUAGUUCGAGUUACGGGGUCCUCCUCUAUUUCAACCAUGUCAUCAUCCUUCCCUUCUUCUUCAAGCGGUGGCAUGUCUGCAUAUUCCUCCUCUCUUUCGCUUUGCCACACCCCCUCUUCAUUCAUGUACAUGAUAGUUCGGUUAGGGCAUUGAACCAUGAGGUGGCCAAUUGCUUUGCAUUUGAAGCAUGCCUUUGGCUGGUUGGUAGACGUAUUUGCCCCUGGAAGAGUCGGCCGCGGGGUUGGUUUAGAAGAAGUUGCACUCGGAUGGGACGGUUGUUCCAUCCGCUGGUUUUCCCUCUCUCUAUUACCUUGCCUUGGCCAGACAUUGGAUGUUGGCAAUUGAUUUCUUCUCCAAGGAGUAGUAGAGGAUGUAGUGGUUCGGCCACUAGGUGUCUUUAGAGGUAAAGCUUGCUUUUCCACUUUCUCUGCAUAAGACACCAUUUGUUGAAACUCAAAGUGGUCUUGAAGCUCAACUUUCUUCCUAAUUUCAGGAUCUAAUCCAUUGAGGAACCUCGCCAUGGUUACUUCCGGAUCCUCUUGUACAUUGGCCCUUAUCAUCGCUACCUCCAUUUGUUUGUGGUACUCAUCAACCGAAUUAGAACCUUGAGUGAGUCGUUGAAACCGAUUGUACAAGUCUGUGGUAUAAUGGAAAGGUACAAUCCUCAUCACUUGCUUCAUUUCAGUCCAAGUGUCAAUUGGUUGUUCCCUAUUUCUCCUCCUUGUGGCACAUACUUGCUCCUACCAAAUAGAUGCAUAAUCUUGAAAUUCAAUAGCUGCAAGUUUCACCUUUUUCUCUUCAGGGUAGUUGUGGACUUCAAACACUUGCUCAACUCGCCUAACGCAAUCCAAGUAAGUUUCAGGAUCAUUUUUCCCAUGAAAAGUAGGCAUCUUGGUCUUGAUGGAACCAAGAUUGUCAUCGGUUCUCCUAGGUCGGUCUCGACCUUCCCUCGCUCCCCUUUGGCUUUUCCUUGAUCGAAAGGAGGUGUUAGAAUGAUAUCCCUCAUCAUCCACAUCAUGAUCAGCACUCUGAACACUCGAAACCCUAUUGUGUGUAUCUCCGGUACCUCGUAUCUCAAUGGCAGCCAACCGGUCGGAUAAUUGUGUCAUCACCAAUUCAUGUCUCUCCGUUUGUUUUCGAAGAGCUUGGAGCACCAGUUUGAGUGACACGUCGGUCUCAGGCGGCUCGAGCAUGUUCUCCUCUUGAGACAUAUUGUCCAACCUGCAAAACAAGUGUAUCCUAGUCUACCUUGCAAGCACUCGUGUAUCACUCAAGGAAAUACACUCACUCUCAAUUUUCCUUUUCGAAACUCUUAAAGCAACUCAAACUCUCAAAAAUUCCAGAAUUAAUUACUUUACAAGCAAGUAACAAGACACAAAGCAGAAUUUUACAAAUUUUAGAAAAAAAAACACUACCCGAAGCUGGAAUUUUUUUUUUGAGCUAUUGUUUUGUUGAGUUUCUGGUCAGUAUUUUGGAGGGUAAAUGGUGCUUCUGGCAUGCUCAAAUAAUGUAUGAAUCAGUCCUCAAAUUUCAAGGAAAUCGGCUAGCAAAGACUAGCUCAACCGAUUUUAGAAACCCAAGAAUUUAAAGGCAGUUUGGCUAAGGUGUUUGUGGCGGUUUAGAUUUGAUUUUGGAAACUAAUUUGAGGGUGUUUGGGGUCUGGUUAGAUAGUUUGGGGUCGUUAAAAUUCAAUUAAGAUUGCAAACUCAAAAAUUGGAAACCAAUCAAGAUUUAGAGACUCAAGUUUUUGGGAAACCAAUCAAGAUUUGGAGACUAAUCAAGAAUUGGAAACCAAUCAAGAAUUGGAAACUCAAGAUUUGCGAAACUUAAUUUCCUUUGUGUGAGAGCCGAUUCCUUCUCUUCUUCCUUUUUUUUUUGUUCUCCUUUUUUUUUUUUUUUGCUUCGGCUCUUCAAGGAACACAAAUUCAGGUCACACCAACAAAUUCAAGAAAAACGGAUGAAAGGUUAUGCAAAUUCCAAGAAGACCCUAAUUCUUGAUUUAUUGUUCAAGAACAUUCAAAACAAGACUUGGUGGUCCAAGAACUUCAAAAAUUUGUUCAAGAAGCUCAAGAACCUCCCCAAAUUACGUUGUGGUGUUUAGGGUUUGCAAGAACAACAACCAAUACUCAAAAAAUAGGUAAAACAGAAUUUCAGCAAUACUCAAUAGAAAAUUCCAGCAAUACUCUAGCAACUUGGACACUAAAACAAUAUAAGGUACAUGACUCUUUUUUUUUUUGUCUUUAAACCCUAACAACCCAAACACAAGUAUAACAGACCCAAGAACUUGGAUAGAAAACACAAAAAGAAAACACCCAAACAAAUUUUUUUUUACUUGGAUGAACAGUAACAUGAACAGUAUGCUACAGUACGAUGAACAGUAAUCGCUACAGUAUUUUUUUUUGACAAAAGACACAAACUAACAAGAUAUGAACAACUUCAAUUCAAAGAGAAUUAACCUGAUGCUCUGAUUACCAACUGAUGAGCAAUCCUAGGGGAAGACUCUCCUAGACCCUCCCAACCUUGUAAUUAUCAGAGUUGGAUCUUUUCUUCCAAUGAAAAUUGAACUCGAUUGUUCUCAUGAACUCAAGACCUCUGACACACAAAGGUAAUCAGCAAUCUUAAGCAAAUAUGAUGGAUGAAGAGACACCACGAUUAGGGAACAAACUAAUCGAUAAAGUCUGAUUUGAAUCCUAAGCUAUGAAGUCAAGAAUUCAAGAGUAAGUUCGAAUAAGCACUUGAAGGAAAAUUCCUCAUGAUUUCUGGUUAUAAUCAUCUCUCCUUUCACUCAUACAAUAGGUGCCUUUUAUAGGCUAAAACUAGGGCAAAUCCGGCCCACAUAAACCUGGAAUAGGAAUUCGGUCCGCAUAAAGAGCCAGCUCUUUAAGGCUUCCCGAUAAGGCCCAAUAAGUAAUAAAAUACUCAACGACUAACAACUACUAAAUUAGGCAGUCUUAAAACAACUACCAACUAAGCUAACAAGUAUGAGAUCAUUCUUUCACUUCAAACGUACAAGUGAAUAAGGUAACUUCAUGGUCCAUCAAAUCUUCAAAUUUAACUUGCUUCUUGCUUGUAUGGUGAAUGAUCAAGGCUCGUAAAGCUUCUCUCACCUUCUUGGUUGUUGAUCUUGUCAUCGGACUACCAAUGUUGAUCAAAGGGUCCUUCACCCAAAGUUGAAGGUGUUGCACACCCGUAUUCGCAUCAAGUGGUGUAAACUACAUGAUAAGAACUCCAUAUGUUUAUGAUACAAAAUUUGCUGACUGUUGUUAUCUCUAAAUUUAUCAUGCACUUAUCAUUUGCAUCCCCUCACUCUAAGAUACCCUAUAAUACUAAUUCUAUUAGGGUUUGUCUAUUCUAUACCUUUAUUACAUAUAAUAAGAGGUCGGUUUGGAUGUUAGAUGUGAAAAAACUUAAAGUUCAUUGGCUAAAGUUUCCGGAAUUUAGGGGUUGAUGAUAUGUUUAAAAUUUGAGAUGGGUCCAUCCUUUGUAUUUUGUAUGCUUUUUGUGUAUUGGGUUAUUAUCACUUUACUUUCUCAAACUAUAUCACUAUUAUUAAUUUAUCCCCUAAUAUUAUCUUUUAGUCACUUUAUCCCCGUAGGUAAUUCAAAUUAACAUUUUAACAAAUUUUGGACAAAAAUACUCUUUUAUUUUAUAGCAUUACUACAUUGUUAUUAUCACUUUAUUCCUUUAAAAUAUAGUGAUACAAUCGCUUUACUCCAUAACAUUAUUUUUUCGGUGUUUUACCCCAUCAUUAACCUAACCAGUAUGUUCAAAAUUUUUUUAAUGUAUUUACCCUUUUUUAUGUAUAAUUAAAAAUAAAAAAGUUGGAAUGACAAUUCUUCCUUUUUUUCACUCUAAGAGUUCCAAAAACAUAAAAAUAAAGAAAUUUUGUAAAAUUUCUUUUUUCACACUUAUUAAUACUAGGAAAAGAAAAAUAGAUAGGAGAGAAAAAGACAGAAAAUUAGAUUUUGUAAAAAAAGAAAAUAAGUAUGAAUCUAAUAUUAUUGUAUUACUUUAACAUCAUCAGGAUUAGGAUUGGAAUUGGAUGGUAAACAGAAAAAUAAAGUAAUUUUAAAAAUAAUAAAAAUAUUGAAUUCUUUUUUAUUUAUAUUUUUUCAAUAUUAAUAAGAUUGCCAAGAAGAAAGAGAUUAAUAUUUUGAAUUUUUUCUUGAUACUAAAAAGGAAAAGAGACACUCUAAAUUUUUUAUUAUUUUUAUUAUACAAAGAGGAGGGUACUUUAUUCUAAAGUUCUUUAACUUGCUAAGUUCGUUUAAUGGUGGGAUAAAUUGCAUAAAAAAUAACUCUAUGAGAUAAAUUGAUAAGAAGGGUAUAAAUUAUGGGGCUAAAGUGAUAAUGAUUUUAAGAGUUAAAUAUGUCUUUUCAAUUGAAUUAACAAACUCUGUUAAGUUUGACCGUUAGUUUUGGGGUAAAGUGACUAAAAAGUAAUAUUAAUGGGGAAAAUGAUAGUGGCACCAAAUAUUAAGAGGGUAAAGUGAUAAUAACCCUUGUGUAUUUUAAGGCACAGAAUAGAAAAAACCUUUCUACUAUUAUAAUCUAGUAAAUUGCAUGUGCGUUUCACGUGUGUGUUAUAAUGUAAUGUAAUGUGCAUGAAAAGAAAUUUCAAAGACUUUAGCUAUGCAUGAAAAAAAAAAUUGUCAUCAAACUAUGUAACAAUAUUUAAUAUAAUUAUAUAAGUUUAUAAGGCAAAGUAACUAAAUAAGUUGUAGUAAGGAAUAAUUAAAAAACAAAAUUUGAAGUAAUGUGCAUGAAAAGAAAUUUCUAAGACUUCAAAUAUGCAUGAAAAAAGUAAUUUUCUUCAAAUUUUUCGUUGAGCUAUCUUCUUUUGUUCUUUGGCAUUUUCAUAAGGUUGUUAAUUUUGUGAUCAUCAUCAAUGAUCUCUAAAUCUUCACAGUUGUGUUUUUUUGUGGAUUUGUUUUGUUUUUGCUUUUUUGAUGGCAACUUUCUUGCUUCCUUAGCUUCUUUUUACUCUGGCGUAACUUUUUCUUUUGCCUUUGCAAUAAGCUUAAUGAUUCCAUUAGCAAACUCAACUCUUUGAUUCAUCUUGAAUAAGAAUUUGUACUCUGGUUCAUUGAACUUGGCCAACUCCAGAUUGAUGUAAUAUUUUGAUGUUGCGUUAUCCUGUCAAAUUAUGUUGGAUGCAUUGUGUAAGAUUCAUGAAAGAUGUAAAUGGAGUAGAUAUUGUUGGUUUUGGGCAUACCGUUUCUAUUUAUUCCUUGUAUUCUGUGGCUAGACAUCCUACAUAGACCUUUGUUGUAUCUUCAAAUAGGGUAACUAUUGCAUGGUAGCUAUCAUUUCUGACAUUUAUAUUUAAUCUAUACCUAUAUUGUAUGCAAUCAAGAAUUAGUAAUAUUUAUUUAAAGCAUAUAAUACUAUUUUAAUAUUAAUUACUUGAGUAUUUCUUCAAUGGCAUGGGUUCCACAAUUUCUGCAUUCUAGUCCUGUAGGCAUGUUAAUGAUUGUCCUGUAACACUUUGUGCAUGUGUUGUACCAAGGAUUAGAGAUGUUUUCCAUGUCAUCAAUUGUUGCUGUAAACCAAUAUAGUUUGUUCUACAAGAUUAUAAUGCUCUUUGGUGGUUAAAUAUAAUAAAUUUAAUGAAAUGAAUAAUUUGUUUACUUCAAUAUAAUGAAGGAUCCUGGAUCUUCAAGUAUCUUGCUAAGCUUGACUUCUACUGCUUGACUAAUUUUUUUCUUCAUCGAAAACUCCUCAAUUUUUGUUGCUUCGUUAGAGUUGUUCAACCUAAGUGAUGCAUGUAUAUGUUAGUUGACAAUAAUGAGCUUAAAUUGAAUAAUAUUAUGAAUUGUAAGAUUGUUUAGGAGUAAUAGAAUAUCUACCAUUUUUUCAGUUUUUCUGCUUCUGGGCAUUUCGGUUGUAUAUGCAAUGUGGAGAGUGUAAUGGUUUUAAUUUGUAUUUCUCCUGUAAAGAAAAUAAAAAAAAUGAUAUUAUCAUGUGAAAAAUGAAAGUAUCUUAGUUGGUUAAGUAGAAAAUUUCAUGGGAGUACCUAGGUAAACAUUGGCUGUUACUCUUCUAAUUGAUACGACUAACUUGUCAUUAGCAAUUUGUUGUAGUUCGUCCUUCAUUUUGAGCAAUAUCUUCCCAAAAGGUGAUUAUAAUGGUGUCAAACCUAAAAGGAGGAACUUUAAAGGAUGAGUAUAUUGUAUACAACAAUAUUCAUUUUGGUUUCGUUAGUUAUCUUACUUGUCAUUCUGUUGACCUUGGUCUCUAACUUUUGAUGUUUACAAAACAAUGGAUAAUACUAAUAUCUCUUCAAGAAAUAUUUUCAGUUGUGAAGCAAAUCAGAUUCAAAGAUCAAGUGCAAUUGAAAGGGACAAAGGCUGUUGAAAGCUGUCGGAUGCUUGGAUCGGACGUCCGAUAAUCAUUGCAUAACUUCGGACGCUGAAUAUGUCUCCACCGGACGUCCGAUAGAAACAAGAUGAUUUCUCAAAUCUCUUUGUUUGCUGUCGGAUGCACAAAGAGCUUGCACCGGACAUUCGAUAGAAUUGAAGAAAAUUUUUCAAACUCACUGUCUGCUGUGGGACGCAAAAAAGCAGGAGUACCGGACGUCCGAUACUCCAACGGCUAGUUGACUGUCAGCUACUUUCUAUUCGUUGGAAGCAUUAAUGAAGCACUUUCUUAGUCUCCUAUAAAUAGAGCAUGGUCAGAAUUUUUAAAUAACUUUUGCAUACUGAAGAUACAAAAGAUCUAGUGUGAUUUUAGUGAGAAAAUACUCUCCAAGGAAGAUUUGUAGUCUUAGUGGUCUGAGGUUCAUUGUAAGCUUUUCAUUUGUGAGUGAAUAUUUCAUGAGUGUAGCUCUGCGAGGGUUGUCCUGAGGGAUAGUAAAACUUCUUAACUUAACCGAGUGGAGUUCGGGGCAGGGAGGAGGUGAACCUUCCUUUGUACACAAGAAUGAUUGUAAUUCAUCAACUUGAAGAAGCUUGUUUGAAUUAAUCUACAAGCUCAAGAGGAGUUGGGUAGUUAAUUGGUUUGCAAUUCUUUCCUUUUUAUUUACUUAUUGUUACGUUUGUGAUCUUUACAUAGUUUAUUUCUUCCACUUGGUUGUUUUCGAUCCUUACAAUUGGUAUCAGAGCUUGAUCUCCUAGAGAUUAAGCUCAAUCGACUUAGGAGUAAAAAUGACAACCAAUAAUGCUAUAUUUUUUUAAGGACAUUCUGUCUUUAGACCACCUAUGUUUAAUGGGUCAAAUUAUUUGAGUUGAAAAGAAAGACUGAUUAUCUUUUACAAUCUAUUGAUAUUGAAUUGUGAUUUAUUAUUAGUGAAGGUCCAUAUGAUGCCUCUCUUAUAGAUGAAAAUACUCAUAGAUCUAGACCAAAAAUAAGAAAUGAACUGACUGCUGUGGAUAGAACUCAUCUCACCAUAAAUGCAAAAGCCAUGAAUGUGUUAUAUUGUACUUUAGACUCAAAUGAAUCUAUUAGAGUCAAAGGCUGUAAGUCAGCCAAGGAAAUUUGGGAUAAACUGAGAGAAAUUCAUGAAGGUAGUGAGAAUAUUAGAGAACAAAAGAAUUCCAUUCUAGUUACAAAGUAUGAAUUCUUCAAGAUGGAAUCUCAUGAAAACAUUGAUAAGAUGUAUUGUAAAUUCAAUAACCUCAUUAAAGACUUGGAGGUGCUGGAAAAGAAAUACUCUUUAGAUGAGAAAAACAGAAAAAUUCUGAAUGCCUUAUCCAAGGAUUGGGAGAGUAAAGUGACUGAUAUUGAAGAAGCUAGAGAUCUGAAUUCCUUGCCUAUUGAAUCUCUUAUUAAUUCUCUAACCUCUUAUGAGCUGAAACUUAAGUCCAAAAUGCAAGAGGAAGAGGAUGCGAAAGUAAGAAGGAGCAUUGCUCUAAAGGCAUCUCAAGAUGAAGAUGAUUCUGCCUCCCUAAAUAAAGAAGAUGCGGAAGCAGAUGAUAGUGAUCUAUCUCUCAUCUCAAAAAGUUUCAUGAGAAUUCUCAAAAAAUGAAGGUUCAGAAAAGGAGGAAACAUCAACUCAUUUCCAAAUCAGUUCACCAAUGCAAGAAACAAAAAGAAACAAGAGUUCAAUAAAAUGCAAACUGAUAAAUACUUUGAAUGCGGCCAACUUGGACACUACGUGAGUGAGUGUUCAAUGAAGAAGAAGAAAGUUGAAAGAAAAUCAAGAUUCAACAACUUUCAAUUCACAUGGAAUGAGUGCAACUCCGAUGAUGAAAUUGAAGAGAAAGAAGAAUCUGUUCAAUUGACUUUUAUGGCCAUUGGAGAUGAUGAGGUAACAACUUGUAAUUCUCAAUUUGAUAGUGAUGAUGAAACUGAUGAUGAUCUUGAAUCUUUCAUUAAAAAAUUGCAUGAUAGUUUGAAAGAAUCUUAUGUUAGAAACAUGGAAUUGAAACACAAAAUUAGUUUUCUUCUUCAAGACAAUACACGCCUUUUUCAAGAAAACAAAAAAAUGAAAAUUGAAAAUGAUUUCUUGAAAAAGAAUGAAAUUGAUUUACAAAAUAAACUUGAUAGAAAAACAAGGUUCUGUGAAAUGUUCAAAGAGGAACAAGGUGAUCUGAAAAGAAGAAUGGAUAAAUCAAAUGAGUUACUCCAAUGUAAGAAACAAACCUACUUUCAAGAAAAUGGAACAAAAUCUUAUUUUGGCACUUAUGAGAAGAAGAUAAAUUCUGGUACAAAUGAAUUUGCUAUUUAUAAGAGAAGACAAGUAAGAUUUAUUAAACCUGUUCAUGUAAAUAACUCUUUGGUUAUGUGUAAUUUUUGUUGUCAAAAAAGUCACAUGAAAAGUGAUUGGUAUGUGAGAAAAACAUGAGAAGAGGCAUGAAAUGCAUGUGAAUAGUUAGACAUGAUGCUAACUCUAACAAAUAGGAGAUAUUGGUAAUAUUGGUGAAAUUCUUGUUCAUAACAUUUUUUGGCAAUUCUCUUUUGAUGUUUCUGAUGCUUUGAACUGAGUUUUCUUGAUAUUUUUUGAAUAUUACUGAAUUUAUAUGAUGUCAAAAAGGGAGAGAAAAGAACAAUUAUGAUCUAAUAAUGAUUUGCUUUGUUAAACUCUCUGUGAUAUGUUGGUAUUUCUUUUGGUAUCAAGUCUCUGUGAUAUGUUGAUAUGUUGGUGAUUGCUAAAUUUUGGUAUCAUUUCUCUGUUUUUGUUUGAAAUAUUGGCUUUUCUGUUAUUGUUGCUGGAUUACGGAAUGAGAUUUUUACUCUCAACUUAUGAUGAUAAAAAGGGGGAGAAAUGGAUGCUAUGUGUAAGGGGGAGUUAUUCUGAUAUUAUAAGUUUGGAUGCAAUGAGUGAGGGGGAGCUUAUGCUCAUAUGCUCAAUCUUUUUCCUUCUUCCAUCCAUUGUUUUGUCAUCAUCAAAAAGGGGAAGAAUGUUGACCUUGGUCCCUAACUUUUGAUGUUUACAAAAAUAAUGGAUAAUACUAAUAUUUUUUCAAAAAAUAUUUUCAGUUGUGAAGCAAAUCAGAUUCAAAGAUCAAGUGCAAUUGAAAGGGACAAAGGCUGCUGAAAGCUGUCGGACGCUUGGAUCGGACGUCCGAUAAUCAUUACGUAACUUCGGACGCUGAAUAUGUCUCCACCGGACGUCCGAUAGAAACAAGAUGAUUUCUCAAAUCUCUUUGUUUACUGUCAGACGCACAAAGAGCUUGCACCGGACGUCCGAUACUCCAACGGCUAGUUGACUGUUCAGCUACUUUCUAUCCGUUGGAAGCAUUAAUGAAGCACUUGUUUUGGUCUCCCAUAAAUAGAGUAUGGUCAGAAUUUUCAAAUAACUUUUGCACACUAAAAAUACAAAAGAUCUAGAGUGAUUUUAGUGAGAAAAUACUCUCCAAGGAAGAUUUAUAGCCUUAGUGGUGUGACGUUCAUUGUAAGCUUUUCAUUUGUGAGUGAAUACUUCAUGAGUAUAACUCUACGAGGGUUGUCCUGAGGGAUAGUAAAACUUCCUGACUUGACCGAGUGGAGUUCGGGGUAAGGAGGAGGUGAAUCUUCCUUUGUACACAAGAGUGAUUGUAAUUCAUCAACUUGAAGAAGCUUGUUUGAAUUAAUCUACAAGCUCAAGAGAAGUUGGGUAGUUAAUUGGUUUGCAAUUCUUUCCUUUUUAUUUACUUAUUGUUAUGUUUGUAAUCUUUACAUAGUUUAUCUCUUCCACUUGGUUGUUUUCGAUCCUUACACAUUCAUUAGAUAGAUUUCUCUUUUAUGAGAAAACUCUCCAGUUUGUUGUUUUUUUAUUGGGCAGCAAUCACUGAUCUUUGUGAAAAAUCCUAAGACAUCUGCAUUGAUAAAAGUCAUUGUUAUUAUAAGUAUAAUAUAUAUUUGAAAAAUAAUAAAAAAUACAUGUAGCAUUUAUUUAACAUGUGUUCAAAAAAAUAAAGAUUGAAUUACCAAGAAUUGUUUUGCUUUCAUAAUGCUCAAUGUUGAUUUCUCCAAUAUUUGUGAAAUUGAAUGGGAUAGUGGUUGGGGCUAUAUUCUCUUGAAGCUAUUUCACUGUUGUAUAACGCUCCAAAUGUACUUUGACAAUUGGAUGGAUUGUUCCACACUAGGUGUUUGCUUAACGGACUACGAAUUUUGAGAUGAGAUAUGUUUUGUUAUAGGAGAACACUUCUUGAAAUAUUUGAAGGACAUUGUUGAAUAUGAUCACUCUAACCUCCGUGUGCCCUAUAUGACAUAAAAUAAUUUUAAAUAUUAGAAUGCACUAUUUAUAGUUUCAAAGGAAGGGAUGUUAUGUAAUGAAGAAGUUGAAUAAUAGAUACACAACGAUUUUGAUCAUAUAAUUAUGAAAUUUUAUUUACCUAUGACAUGCUCUCCAUAAUCUUCUUAAAUUAUUAUCACUACAUAGGAUGUUAAAUCAUAGAUAUAUAGAAGGUAAUACCUUGACACAAACUAAGUUAGACAUAAAAUAUUAUUUGUGACGACUUGAAAAUUUGCUUAUAUUUUCUUAUAAAUUCCUCUUAUUUUGAAUAAGUUAAUUUAAAAUUCCUUUUACUACUAAUUUUCUUCCCUCGAUAGUUGUAAUAUAUAAUCGAAUCGAGAGUUUUACUUUUAAUUUUAUAGUUAGAGCAAAUUAGGGUUUUUGAGCAUUUUGGUAGUGUGAUCACUUGGUGAGAUGUGUGUACUAAAUUUCGUAGAUAAGAGCAAGUAUUAAGUAAGAGGAAGUGUGUGAUUAGAAGUGUUAAUAAUAAGUUAGUGAUCAUAAGUUAAACACAAGUACGAGAAAGUUAAGGAAAAUAGACUUGAAUCGACGUGCAACGUUUGUUACCGGUUGAGUACUCCACUUGACCAGUACUUUCUUAACCUAAUCACCUUGUUUUUAUUUCAUUUAAUUUCUCCUAAAUUACCCUUAAGUAAGCCACCAUUUUUUACUAAAGAAAGGUGAGAAAAGAAAAAAAAAAAAGCAAGGGUGCCAAGUGUUGGCAAUCCAAAGGGUUGGUUGACCAAGACCAUUUCUUCCUUCUUAUCUGUCUUCUUCGCCAAUUUUCCUUCAUUUUCCUCUUGUGUUGGCAGAAUUUUGGGAGAGAAAAAAAAAAGAGAGAGAAACCUUCCAUUUCCACCUUGAUCUUGCUUUGUUUGAGUUGAAUCACAAAAACUAAAUCGAUUAAACUUGCAUCAAGAGUGUUAGGAAGUUUGGUGUGGUGAAAUUUUUGGAAGAAAUAGCUUGGUUCUACACUUUCAAGAAGGUUUUGUAAGGUAUAAGUCUAAAACUUCCUUUUAUUUUUCUUAAUCUUGCUAAAUAUGCUAUAGAAGUUUUGAAUCUUGGAGUAUUAUGGAUGAUUUUCUAGUUUUGGGUUGUUUAGUAAAAAUUUCAGCUAGGGUUUUAUAUUUUUCAUCUUUGAUUAUGUUGUUUAACUAGCAAAUGUUGGUAUUGAGCUUGGAUAUGAAAUUUGUGAGGUAAUUAAUGGCAUGAUUGUGACUUUUUAACAUUAAAAGAUGAAUUUCCAGCUUUGGUGAGAAAAGUCCAGUUUUGGUAGUGGUUGAAUAUUUGCUAGAAAUGAGUUAUAUUUGGAUGUUUUUAGUCUAGAUAAAGAGCUGUCUUGAUAUGUUUAUUGGUGGUGUUUGAAUUGGGUUGAUUUGAGGAAAAACAUGAAGUCUUAAAUGGUUGGAAAAUUGGACAAAAACAAAGGGUAUGCUGCCCAAAUUUUCAUUCAAGGGAUAAGUGAGUGAAUUUGAAACUUGAGCGGUGAUUCGGAGAUGAAUUGGGUUUCGGUUGUCUAGGGUAUUCAAGUUUCCUUUAGUAGAGGUAUAUAAGCUGAAUUUUUGCCAAAAGUCAUAUACUUUUAAGGUGAAAGUAGCGACCACUUUAAAUAUGAUUUCCUAGUGUUUUUAACUCCAAGUUGCGAACUUAUAAGUGCUAAACGCUUCUUUAUCAAAACCAAAAGAACGAGCAUGAUUUUUCUAGAGUUUUGUAAGUGAAAUGAAUACUACUUCAACGAGUUUCAUUUAUUUGAUUUUCUUUAAAUGAAUCCCCUCUAUUUUGAACCCUAAUUGAUUGCAAACUAUUAAACGAUAUUUUAUCGUAGAUUUGGACUCUAGCCAAGGUGUUGAAUUAGAGCGUGGUUUUGAAAAGCAAUAACUCAUUGGUGAGUGUUUUCCAAUGCAUGAUUGAACUUGAUCUUUGAAUGAAAUGAUUUGCUAAUGCGAUUAAAUAAUACUUGACUUGUUUGGAUGAGGCGAGGGUAUACUUUAUCGCACUCGUCCUGCCCUUCUCGAAUGAUCUCAUACUUGCCUGAGCUUGAUUGACCUGUAUUUGUAUUGGUGUUUGUACUUGACUUGUAAGUGCUGAGCAGUAGCAUGUACCACACUCAAUCCAAAUGGGAGGUGCCUCUCAUCCCAUCUCACUACUUUUAUCCUUACCCUAUUGGUUAGUCAGUAGAAUCGAGCUAGUAAGGGCUUGGUCGAGAAGACUGGCGAACCAUAGGUACUGUUUAUUGUUUAUCGUUUAUUGUAUAAACCUUUGGAUAUGGUCCACUGGAUUCGAUACACUCAAGUAUUACCAUCACUCUUACUUUGGAGUUCAGGCCCGAUAAGGGGUUGAUUGGUGGAUGGAAAUUGGUGUAAAGUGAAGAUCUGCGGUCAUGGUUUUACUUCUUUAAACGUUGACGGAGUGUCAAUGGGUUCAGAUCAAAUAAUGCAACGGGAAUUUGGCUCUUGAGAGUCAUCUGUAUUCUUAUAUUUUGAAAUGAUUGUUACUUUAGUGUUAUUGUUUCUUUUAUGAACUUUACACUCGCUCAUUUUGAAAUUUCAAGUUUUACAUAUGGCCAACUUGCUACUUAGGUCUGCAUGAAGUUUUGGAAUCUCGCUGAGAUUUGGCUCACUCUAUUAGCUUUUGUUUUCCUUACAAGGGGUACGAGCAUAGGCGUGAAGCUGGAAAAACUAGUUUUGUCUAGACUUUUAACUUUGGCAAUUCUACUAGCGCUAGUGCUCGAUUAGGGUUAGAAGUAUAACUAGAACUUGAAUCUCUUGUUAUAUUCGGAUAUAUAUGAUUGGUUGAGAUAGCAAUGAAUGUAAAUGUACUUUCUAAACUUAGAAACUGUAGUCUCCUUUACUUUUGAAGUUGCAACUUAUUUUCUUGACGUGAAUGAGCGAGUCUUGAUGAGAGUUGGACAGGCGGUCCGCUAAACCCUAGAGUACGCCUUAGGGGAAGGUGGGGUCGUCACAGUAUUACCUCUUCAUCCAUGCAUAUCAUUCUUUUUAUUCCUUUCGUGCUCACAUUCAAAGAACUUUGAACUAUUCUAGGAUGUAAUACUGUCAAUUUAAGUGUCGCAAAUAUGGGUUUGUUGGUAACCUCCAAAGAAUUAAUUGUUAUUAUUGUCUCCAUUUAAAUGAUCCUGAAAGAUGUGAAUAUACAUUGGGAGUAAAUCACAAGUGUUUAACAAAAUGCCAAAAUAAUUGAUAAAGGACUUAAUAAUCAAUGCAGAGUUAGUCCCAUUCUUACAUUAAUAGUGCUUAUCAUCGUAUCUAGUUUCAAUUUCACUAUUAUGUAUCCAACAUGUACCAAUUAUUUAUUGUAAAUGACUUGUACAAUAAGUGAUUUAACAUAAUACAAUUUUGUUAUGAAAAUAAAAAAUUUUAUGAUUAGUAUUGUUGAUGGUCAAUAUAUGGAUGAGUAACUGGUUGUAGAUAUUUAUACGAUAUCUAAAUUUUACAUGGGUGUUUUUGCAAAAUUAGGUAUAACAUCGUUUUUGACCCACAUAGUUUGGAAGAAAAAAGAAGUAUUAACCCUUUUACAAAAAAAAUAAAGAAGAAGGAGAAUAAGUCUUACUUUCUUUUCCUUUCCUUUUCUAAUAGAUACCUUGUAAUAUUUAUACGUUUGUUUAGGAAUCAAUUGAAGUCUAGAAACUUGCCAAUUUCUGAAUUGUGAUUAUAAAGUUUGUAAUAGGUACCUUUCUUCAAAGUCCGAUUGUUUUCGUCAAAACGCAAAGCUUGUAAUUUGGAAAAGUUUUGCUUUUCUUCAAAAUUCAGAGGAUUGAGUCUUUUUUUUUUCAGAAACGAUAGGAAUUGUAUUGAUAAAAUCAUAACUUUACACUUGUAGAGCAACGGCUCCUAGAGACUAUACAAAGGUGUUAGACAUCUUGAGGAUUAUUCUAUUCCUCAUCACCACAAAUGCCUACUGUAUAAGUACUAACAGAUUUACUUAUAUCGUCAUUUGCUAUAUCUAAACAAAAUGAGCAUUUUUUAAACAAAGAGCUUAAAUUGUUGAUGUCAUCUAUCAGAGGAUUGAGUCUUGAAUAUUUGGAUUUCUUCAAAAUUCAGAAGAUUGAGUGUUGAAUAUUUGGAUUUCUGGUGGGAUCGAUUUGAAGAAAAAGUGGUUGGUGAAAAUUUGGUUCCUUAGGUGAGUUUCUUCUAUUUUUAUAGACUAUAUAUGUUUGAUUUAGAUUCAUAUGAUUGUAUGAGAUAUAUAUUUCAUUUGUAGUAGUAUUUUAUUCUAAUUGUUCUAUCUUUGAAGGAGGUGUUUGUUUUGUAUAGGGUCUCUAAUUUUAACACUUUUGGUGUAUUUGAUUUUCAGUUUAACUCAUUUUGAUAUGUGAAAAAUAGGCAUGAACAGACUUUGUUGAGCUUGUUUGCUAUUCUGGAGUGUUAGUUUUCGGAAUGGAUAAAUAUUCAUCUAUUCAUAGUCAAGUAAGAUUAAUUACCAAGAUGCUAAGUAUCAUACUCAUUAGAAUAAUUUGAAUGGCUUCGAGUGUUUUGUGAAGAGGCCUCCAAUUAACUUCCAACAUGCCUCCAAAUUCUCUUCUAAAGAUAUGGAAACUUGCUUCCAACAAGGACUAGUAGUCCAAUUAACUUCCAAACCAUCUAAAUAAGGCGGUGCUUAUCAAAGAAUUGCAUUGGUCAAGUUGCGGCGGUGGAAGCUUGUAUUCAUCACAUGUGACGCAUUAGUCACCAAAUCCCGCGAAUUCCGACUUUCACGGGUUCGUACCACGCGCCACGCCUCAGCUUCCCAAGUCUUCUAAUCACUCCUCGAUAUUUCAUUGAUGAUACAAUCAAUAUGUUUUAACAGCUUUUAAUUGUUGACUUCUGGUGCACGUCAAGCAAUGCAAAUUAGAAUAUUCGAAAAAACUUUCUCUCUCCCCUCUCUCUAUCCUCAAUCUUCUCUCUACUCUUUUUCCUCCAUGAGGAGGAAGAGAUCUUAAUCUUAAGCCAAGGUCUUUAUUCCUCUCCUUUUAUUCUUAUUUUUAUUUAAUAAAAUCUCUUCUAGGAUAUCCUAAUGAGAGUUUUCUUCCCUCUUGAGUUAUCCUAGUAAGAGUUUUUGAGGGUGGUGGUUUCGGCUCGGACUCCACGCUUCAACUCCUUUCAGAACGGCUCACCCGUCCUUGUCCAUGACCAAGUGUCGCUUUGUCGAGAUGAGUCUUGUCACGACUCCACCGUCAUCUCGUGCAUCUCGGCUACUGAGGUGUCCGUUGUCAAGCCUCGUAAUACCUAAUAGGACAACUGGGGCCAAGUCACAGUCUGUUGCUUACUAGGGGGCAAGACAGUUGAUGGGACCUGCCUGACGGACCUGAUGAGACAGGCUGACAUGCCUAGUUUGUCAGGACAUGGGAAGUUGGUCCCAACUGCCUUUUCUCUCCGACCGUCUCCUAUAAAUACAAGAAAGCUACUAUGAAGAGGGGUUCCUUUUCUUUUGGGGGGAAAACUAGUUUACAAGGUAUAUUACCCAUAAUUUUUUUUCAAUACUUUCUCCUAACCUAAGCUAACUAGAUCGUCAGAGGUAAAUCAGGGAAUUGUACCCAGCUCAGACACUUUGAGCAGGUGAUUUUUGUGAGGCUGUACCCACUUCAGGAGAGUUACUCCCGCACCGGGGGGAAGUCGACUGACUUAAAAAAUAACCUCUUCAAUUGGCGCCGUCUGUGGGAACGCGAAGACAUCAAAAGGAUGAAGCCUGUGCAUUCUAGGAGCAGGAAGGCUCUUACUAUUGGAGCUGAGCCUGGUGCUGCAGCUCAACAUGAAGAUGUCUCUGAAAGACAGGGGUCCCGGAGAAUCAGGCUGCAAAUGGAGAAGCCAUAGCCCGAAUGGCAGAGUUUGUAUCUGAGAAUCCUUAUAUAUUUGAAGAGUUGGGGAGGUACUUUAAGAAGCAAGGCAACCAAAAAGCUGAGUCUUCUAAGAGAAAAUCGGAUAAGUCACCCGAGCUCCCGUCUGAUGAGGAAUCCGAGGGGAGACCUUCCAUCAGGAGUACUCCCAAGCGAAUCUCCUCUAAAGCCACCUCUAGAAUUACCUCCAUCUCUAGGGCAUUCUCAAGAGGGUUGCUCGGGAAACGAGCUGAGGAGGAACCUCGGCACCCGGGAAGGCCAGGGGUGGACUACAUGAGGGCUCCGCCCUUUACAGAUGAAAUCAAUGAGAAAAGGCUCCCCUCAAAUUUCAAAUUGCCCGCCAUACCAUCGUAUGACGGCCAAGGUGACCCGGAGGACCAUAUUCAUGCCUUUAUCUCGACAUUCCGAUUGUAUUGUAUUCCCACCGGGUUAUCUGCUAGGCUUUCCCAGUAUUCUUGCAGGGGACAGCUUGAAAAUGGUUCUGGGGUCUGGAACCUAAGAGUAUCUCCACUCUGGGAGAGUUGGUGGACAAAUUUCUUCAUCGCUUUAUCUCUUCCAGACCGAUGACGAGGAGCUCGCCUUAUCUGUUAAAUAUACAACAGCAUCCCGGCUAGUCCCUCCGCGCUUAUGUGCAGAGGUUUCAAGAUAAAAGUGUGUAGAUACCUGACCCUAAUGAGCAGGUAACCAUAGCCGCCUUCACAAAUGGCCUUGUUACCAGGGUGUUCAAUACCGUGAUACACAAGAAGUAUCCCCGGCCGCUUCGAGAGCUCUAGAAAAAGGUUGAAAAAGACAUACAAGCUGAGGACCUGAACCGCAUGAAAAAGGAGACCCAGGUGGCACGCUCCGGGCAUGAUUCUCGAAAAAAGAAGGAAUCAGCCCGAGGUGAUGCUAGUGUUACGGGUGGUUUCUAGAGUCCUGGCCGAGAUCGCCAGAGCGUUUUUGACCGAAUUGCCAAGGGAAAGUCAGCAAUUCCAGAUUUUAGUCUGACCCUCUGAACACCAAUUGUUCCCAUAUCCUCGCUAUCAUGGAGCAGAAUCACCUCAGGCGAGCCCCUCCCAGAAUGGCCAGAAGGAGGGAAAAGUGGAACUCCAACCUCUACUACACCUAUCACCGAGACAUCGGGCAUAAAAUCAAAAAUUGUAAUGACCUAAAGAGAGAUAUUGAGGAACUGAUUAAGAGGGGGUACUUAAAGCAAUUCGUCCGCAGGGACGAAGGUAAUACGAGUGACCCUCGCCACGACCGUCAGGGCGAAACUCGGCGGGAGAACACCCGAGAUGAACCCCAACGAGAGGAUAGGAGAGGGUCCAGGAGCAGCUGCCGACCCCCCGAAGAUCCUAGGGACCCGAUGAGGCCUCCCCAGGAUGGAUCCCCAGGCUAUGGGCCAGGUUACGAGCCAAACAUAGUCGGAAUCAUCAAUACUAUUGCUGGAGGUCCAACGGGAGGAGAUAGCCAAAAUUCCCGGAAGAGGACCUAUAGGCAGGUCAAUUCAGAUCAGGUCGAGGCAAGUUCUCGCCUAACCGAAACAAUUACCUACGGCCCCAACGACCCUGUCCCGACUGCUUCCAGCAGUCAUGAGGCCUUGGUGAUUGAAUUGCUAACCAACAAUUACUUAGUAAAGAAGGUGUACGUUGAUCCCGAAAGUUUGGUAGAUGUCAUGUACUAUCAGACUUUUGAAAGCCUAAAAUUAACAAGGGAUCAGCUAGAACCUGUGACGACCCCACUGGUAGGGUUCGGGGGGCAUGUUGUUCACCCCGAAGGGAUGGUUAUGCUGAUGGUGACCGUGGGACGGUAUCCUCGGUGCCGAACUAUUCCCACCAAUUUUGUUGUGGUCAAAACUGAUUUCCCGUAUAAUUUGCUCAUGGGGCGACCUACCCUAAAUGUAUUGCGAGUGGUGUACUUAACGUAUCACUUAAGUUUCAAGUUCCCUAUGCCAGCGGGUAUAGCUGAGGUCAGCAGCGAUGUCUGUGCCGCUAGAGAAUGCUACCUCGCCACCCUCCAGGCAGCCUCCUCGUCAUUGGUCGAGCUGAAAAUCGAGGGUAAGAGGUCUCGAAUCUUCUCGAUCGACUGCCUAGAUCUUCAAAAAUCCGGGAAGCUUGAAAAGCUAGAGACCGGAGAUAAGGUCGAAUAAGUCCUUCUGGAUCUUGCAAAGCCCGAGCAAACCAUCCCCAUUAGCGCCUGUUUGCCGGAGCCACUUAAGGGCGAAGUGGUUAAUCUCCUUAAAGAGUACCAGGAUGUCUUCGCUUGGACUGCUGAUCAGGUAGUGAGGGUACCCCACCACCUCAUGAUACAUGAGCUGAAUGUUGACCCGCGCGCGAAACCUAUUAAGCAGAAAAGGAGACACUUCGGCCCGGAACGUGAUAAGGUCGUGACUGAAGAGGUGGACAAACUCUUGCCGGCACAGAUGAUUAAAGAAGUACAAUACCCCACCAGGCUAUCUAACCCUGUUAUGGUCAAGAAGGACGCCGGGGGGUGGAGAAUGUGUGUGGACUUUACGGAUCUGAAAAAGGCAUGCCCGAAAGAUUGUUACCCACUGCUGAAAAUAGACUCCCUGGUUGAUUCGGCAGUAGGUUAUAAGAUCAUCUGUUUCCUAGAUGCCUUUAAAGGCUAUCACCAGAUAGAAAUGAGUGAGGUAGACUAAGAGAAAAUGGUAUUUUUCACAGAUCGGGGAAUCUACUGCUAUACCACCAUGCCCAUCAGCCUAAAAAAUACCGGGGUAACAUAUCAAAAAUUGGUCAACCGAAUUUUCAAGUCCUAGAUAGGCAGGAACGUCGAGGCCUACGUCGAUGGCAUCAUCUUGAAAAGUAAGCAUAUCUUGGCAUUCUCAUCCGAUGUAAAAGAGGUCGUCGAUAUCCUCCGAGAUACGAGGAUGAUGCUCAACCCCAAGAAGUGCAUAUUCAAUGUGACAUCAGGCAAGUUCCUGGGAUAUCUAGUGUCACGCCGAGGUAUAGAAGCAAAUCCCGAUAAGGUGAAGGCGAUUUAGGAGAUGUCCUCACCCCGAAACAUCCGAGACGUCCAAAGGUUGACAGGGAGAUUGGCAGCUCUAAAUCGGUUCUUGUCACAAUCUACUGUAAGAGCGCUGCUAUUCUUUAAAGUGCUGAAGAAGGCCGACAUGUUCUCUUGGAUUGAAGAAUGCCAAAGGGCCUUUGAGCAGAUGAAGGAAUACCUGCAUCAACUCCCUACUCUUACCUCACCUUGAGUAGGAGAGACAUUAUAUCUCUACGUGUCCGCGGCUGAAGAGGCGGUGAGCGCAGUCCUGAUAUGGGAUGAUGGUCUUCAGGUCCCAGUAUAUUAUGUUAGUCGGGCUCUCCGCGGGCCUGAAACCCAAUAUAUCUGGGCCGAAAAACUUGUAUUGGGGUUAGUGCAUGCGGUUCAAAGGUUGAAACCUUAUUUUUUAACUCAUCCCAUUCGGAUUAGGACGGACCAGCCCAUCAGAUAGAUAUUGUUCCGACCUGAAGCCUCAAGGCGCCUCACCAAGUGGGCCAUUGAGCUCGGGAAGUAUGAUCUCACAUAUGAGCUGCGGACUGCUAUCAAAGCCCAGGCCCUUGCCGACUUCCUAGCUGAACUUACAUUCACCUCGGACCAAACCAGCACCUCGAAAACGCCGGAGCCAGAAAGAUGGGCUUUGCAUGUGGAUGGUUCUUCUAACAGUGAGGGUAGUGGAGCCGGAUUGCUCCUCGAAAAUCCUCACAGAGAUGCGUAUUCAUAUGCUCUUCGGUUUGACUUUGCUGCGUCUAAUAACGAAACUGAAUAUGAGGCUGUUAUUGCGGGCCUACAAUUAGCCCGCCAACUGGGAGCCCAGCAUAUAAUUGUUUUUAGCGAUUCCCAACUUGUCGUACGCCAGGUAUUAGGGAAUAUGAGGCUAGAGAGGAAUCCAUGCAACGGUACCUCUCUAAAGUCCACCAACUGGCAGCCUAUUUCAAAUCCUUUGAAAUCCAAAAGAUCCUCCGGUCCCAAACUCGACGAGCUGAUGCCCUAUCCAGACUUGCUUCUACCUCAUUCUCUGCUCUCAACAAGACAGUUCUCGUGGAGGUUUUAGCCGAACCUGGUUAUAUGGCGGACCAAGUCUAUUCGAUGGCCUCGGGGGACACCUGGAUGACUCCACUGAUCAAGUUUUUGGAUCAAGACCUUUUUCCAGAUGAUAAGGCCGAGGCAAGAAAGGUGCAGCGAAAGGUAUCCCGAUAUGCUAUUUGUCGCGCCCCACUUUUUGAUUACGUGUGAGAGUGUGUGAGAUAUGUGUGUGAACAUGUGUGAAAGUGAAAAAUAAAAAGGCCGCGGGAUUGUGAAAUGCGACGGUUUGGCCAAAUAAAGUUCAAAAAGGGUUUUUUGAAUGAAAAAAAUGGAGUCGCCACUUGGUAUAGAGUUAGGGUGUACCAAGUCACCCAAAAAUGAUUUUUUUUUUGUUUUUGAACGAAAAAGUAAACAAACCCUUUUAAAGAACUUCUAGGUCUACGUAACCAAAGAAAGGGAUCGGGGGUCACAUUUGACAAGGGAGAAGGCAAAGGCAAAGCCUAAGGCACUCCCUUAUCCUAGCCAAAGCUAGUUGCGUGACUUAGCCCCACUUUUCCUAAUUUUUUACCCAAGGUAUGUAUCGCAUGUUGGAUAUGACUAAUGGAUGCUAAAAGAAAAGAAAAAAUGCAAUCCUAAAUCUAAAAUGUUCAUUAUGAGGCUUUUUGGUCCCAACCACAUGAAUUGUGGUGGCCAAUAAGGAAAGCUCUCAUAGAAGUCGUGAUUAAUGCAAAUGAGGACUCAAAUAUGUGCAAGUGUGAAAGUGUAUGAAGGAUGUAAAAUGCAAAUGGAAAGGUAAGUGCAAGUGUGCGGACAUAAGAAAAGGGCAAGCGUGCCAAUUGAGAAAGUAAAAGUGUUUGUGUGCAAGUGGAUGAAAAAUAUGGUAUAAAAUAUAUAUAAGUGCAAUUGGGUGUAAUUUGUGAAGUAGAAAAUAAAUAAGUGAUAGAAAAGAGGUGGUGAGAAAAUGUGGAUUGAGAAAAGAUAUAAUUAGUGAGAAAAAAAUGGAUAAAAAGUGAAGAGGUGAUAUGAUGGAAUGAAAGUGUAUGAUCCUAGAGGAAUGCAUCAAGUCGGGUACGGGAAUGACUCCUAACUUUACGACUUUAAUUUUCCCUUUGAGUAGAAGGAAGAACUAGCGUGCUAAGGCUAUUUUGUAGCCACACUCGCUCGUUUCCCUUAUCGAAAGGGGACUCUCAAGCAAAUGUACCCUAUAACUAGCAUGAGGAUGCAAAAACCUAAAAUGAAGGGGAAAGGGUUGGAGGAGCAUGCCAAAUGAUAAAAAAACUAAGAAAAAUGCAUGAAAUGUAGUGAACAUGCAAAUAUGCACUAAUGAGAGGGGGUGGCCUAUUGGGUCUAGCGUUGGACUAACCCUUUCUAUGAAUUCCUACUAGCGUUGGACUAGUGGAAACGGGACAAUGAACCACAACUAGCGUUGGACUAGUGUGGUGACGGGAAAGGGGGCCACAACUAGCGUUGGACUAGUGUGGUGGCGGUACACAUUUAUUACAAUCUAAUAAUCCAAAAAUAGAGCAUAAUAAAGCAAGUAAACACAUAGAUCACAUAAACAUGUAGCAAAUAAACAUAAUAUCUAGAUGCAACAGCCCUAAGAAAGCGGUAACACGUAGCACGUAAGCAUGCAUAUCACACAGUGCAAAUAAAGCAAAGAAAGCCCUAUCUAUUACAUCAGGGGAGCCCUACUACAAUCUAAGGGGAAAUGAAUUAAAUAAUUAAAAUAAAUACCUAACUAUUACAAAUUUGGCAUUCAAGUGCCUUUCAAAUAAUCAAAUUGAAAUAAAAUAAAUGUACAAAACCAAUAAAGCAAAUAAAUAAACAACUGAAAUGAAUAAAAAACAUCCAAAAAGCAUACAAUCAACAUGCAAAGUCACAUAGGGCACGUAUAGUCAAAUAAAGUAAGAAAUAAGGGAUUAGGGUGUACCGCCCCUUGAUUUAGAGCCCUAAGAAAAUGGAAUUGCUCUCUUAUUUACCCUCCAAAACAAUAAAAUGGUCAGGGUACCAAUUUAAUUAACAAAUAAUCUCCAAAGAUAAAAAUGAAUUGUGAAAUUGAAUUUGAUCAAAUCAUAUAAACAACCCCCUUUCAAGAAGUCCAAAGAAUAAAAGACUUUAUUGCAAACAUUAACAAAGUUUUGGGGCCAAAAUUAAAGGAAAAUAAAGUUUAGGGACCUAUGUGCAAUUACCUUAAGGACCCAAUUGAAAGAAACCCGAAGUUUUUAGGGCCGUAACAUAAUCAGGGAAAAGUCCGAGGGCUGAUUUGCAAUUUUGGUUUCCAGAUUCUUGGCAGGCCAGGCCAUUGGGCCAAUCUAUUCAUUUCUUGGGCCAAAAACCCUUACUAGCCCACGGAAGUCCAAAACAAAUGGGAAUGGGCUAUUUUAUUUAUUUGUUUGGGCCAAAACCUCCCUAGCCCAACAGAAAACCCUAAGAGGCAAGCAGGCCAGCCUAUCUUUAAGCCCAAACAAAAUUCAACUAAAACAGAUGGGCUUCACUUCUCAAGCCCAUGUCAAAAACCCAAAAAAAAAAUAAGUCAUUAAUUCUUUUGUCAAGCCCAAUCAAAUAUUAUUACCUAAAAAAACCAAACCAUAAAACUAAACCCAACAAGAUUAGCAAAUCAACUAAAAUUAUUAAGCCACAAUUAUGAUCUAAAACCCAGAAUUAAUCAAGCUAAAAGACUACUUAAAAAACAUAAAAAUAAUCAAAAUCUUAAAAAGGGUGAAGUAAGGCCAACUUUUCAACCUUUGAGUCAAAUCAAGAAUAAGGGGAACACUUGAGGGGUUUAAAUGCAACCAAGCAGGGACUUAACUGAAUGAAUUAUGAAUGUUUUAGGGUCGAAUUACGAAAUUCUGGAACUCUGGGGCUAAAUUACAAAACAAAAAGGAAAUGGAAUGACCGGCAUGUCAAACUUUAAACAAACCAACGUCUUCCCCAAGCAGAUUAGGCAUCAAUCUUCCGUUUAGAACCUUCACUCGGGCAUUUUAACAAACAGCACAAGGGCAUAGAAGAAUCCAGUAAUUUUGCUCAAUUAGGACUGUAAUUAGCCUCCCCCCAAAAGAUUAUCAUACCAUCAGGAAGGAAAACAGAUUCUAGAAAUUGAAUAACAAUAAAGGAAAGAGCAAUCAGAACUUGUCAUACGUAACAAUAGAAAUAAACAGCCAAAGAAUAGAAAGCAAAAGAGAUAGGAGACUUCGAAAAUUGCCCCUGCCAUGCCUACAAAAUUUUCCAGAUUGUUUUCUUUGGUUCAAACUUCUGCAGAGGCCUUUCAUCAAACAGGUCAGGCGCACUAAAAAUUCAUCAAAGUUUUGCUUGAAUUGAAGUUAUACUUAGCCCCGAAGAUGUCAGAAACACAAGAAAUUCGACCCAAUCAGCAUAUAGAGCAUUCAUAUUCGAAACUGCAGACAAUCGACCAAAAUUGAAACAGAUUCACAAGGGACAUGCUAGGAGUUGGGGAUUUCCAGAGUUUGCACUUGAAAGUAGGACUUACAAUGUGUCCUUGGCGAGGAUUUUACAGGCGGUAAUGACAGGUUGCAGUGGCGGGGGUGGACAAUUCCGGUGGUGGCAGUAGCUAUGAGCGAGUAGCAGCGGAUAUAGGCUGGUAGUAGCUUGGGCAGAUGGCGUGAUGGUGGUUCCGAUCGAUUUCCAUUUGGCUAUAACAAACGCUGCUGCUGAUGGAAUUGACGAUAAAACGAUGGAGGAAGAGUUUUUCUGGUGCGGCUUCUUGUGCGGUUGAGUUGUCUCCUCUGGACUUGAUUAUGACGGUGGGAGGCUAUUGAAUUUUGAUUUUCCAGCUAGCGGUUGAGCUGUUGCAGCAGGGGAUCGGACAUAAAUCACUCUAGCUUUUGUAAGGUAUUUGAUAAAGGACCCAUUAGCUGCAGAUUUUGAGCUGAUAAUUCGGCUGAAGGCAUUUGCUGGGAUAAGUCGCAGGGAAAGUGUUCUGAUUGGCGGCCGACUGAAAAUUAGGAGCUUUGCCUCUUCUCUUCCUCCUCAUUUUUCUUGUUUUUCUCCAUUCGAUCUCUCAAGCUUAGCCGCCUCCUCCAGAUUAUCCUCUCUUGUGCUGUUUUUCCUUUCCUUUCUUGCUAAGUCCGCCUCUUAUUCCAGAUUUUUCUCACCUUCCACCUCCGCCCUCUGUUUUCUUUUUUCUCCCUUUGUCUAAAUGCCCGAAACCUCCCUUUUGUUGUUGCUCGAUUUUCUUAAUUUUCCCUUUACUUUGCCGAAGCCUCUCCCCCCAUUUUCCUUGCUCUCCCUGUUUUUUCUAGCUCCUUUUCUCCCUCUCGGCCCAAGCCUUUUCUUCAUUUUUUUCCUUUAAGUUCGAAGCUUUUUGCUUUUUGCCCUUACUCCAGAAUCCCGCCGCCAUUGCCCUCCUUUUCUUCCCUUUUGGCUGCUUGGCCUUUUUCUCUUUUUCCCUGCCCAAAUAUUCCUUUUCUAAUCCUAAUCCACCGGCCCCUCUUGUCCUCUGUUUUGCUCUCUGGUUCUUAGCCUCCGACGAAGCCCUCUCUUGUCCUCUGUUUUUUUUUAGCCCCCAAUUAUGCCGUAAGCCUCGUUCAAUUCCUCUUUUUUCUCUUAAUUUUUCCUCUGCUUUUUUUUAGUUUUUCUCUCCCCCACAGCCGACAAUUCCUCCUGCUUCCCCCUUUUGGUUCUUGCCCCUUCAUUGCUUAGCCGCCACCCCAAUUUUUCAACCGAGUCCCUCUCUUUUCCUUUUUCCCUAAAAAACUUAAUACCCCCCAAGUGUCUCUACCCCCCCUUUGCCACAUAUAGUGAUGUGUUGUUAAAAUAUAAGAAGGGACACUUGUCCCACAUGCAAAUUCCCACAUGUUAACUUUUCUUUUUUCAUUUCUUUUCUUUUCUAAAAAAAAUGAAUAAAUAAAUAAAAUAAAAUAAACCAGAACAAAAAAUACAAAUACAAAUAAAACCCUAGAAUUAAAUCAAAUAAACCUAUUAAAUCGAAAUUGGAUUUCGAAUUUUCCCCCCACGUCCGGCUCCGUAUUUAUCAUCCUCUCCCUCUGCCACGUGUCGGGUGUGGGGCCCACCAGGGCCGGGGACACGUGUCAGUCAUCUUUAGACAAAGAAGUAGACACCAAAUACCUACCUGUGUUAUUCGGCUGCGAACGUCUCGCACGAUGGACGCUUUAGAAAUGAGGACUGACCUCUUUAAUCAAAAUGUUAGAAUAGGAUUGACCCAAACAGAAAUUUUAAAAUCGGGACUGACCCGAACAGGAAUUUAAACGGGACUGACCCGAACAGAAAUUUAAACGGGACUGACCCGAACAGGAAUUUAAACGGGACUGACCCGAACAGGAAUUUAAACUGGUGAAUUGAAGUGAUAUGGAGUGUUGGUGGGAUUGACCCAUGUUUAUUGGUGAUGCAAAUGAAAUGCUCACUAGUGGACUGACCCACGGCUAGUGGCAGAUGUAAAUGAAAGGCUCACUAGUGGGACUGAUCCAACGGCUAGCGGCAAAUGUGAAUGAAAGGCUCACUAGUGGGACUGACCCAACGGCUAGUGGCAAAUGUAAAUGAAAGGCUCACUAGUGGGACUGACCCAACGGCUAGCGGCAAAUGUGAAUGAAAGGCUCACUAGUGGGACUGACCCAACGGCUAGCGGCAAAUGUGAAUGAAAGGCUCACUAGUGGGACUGACCCAACGGCUAGUGGCAAAUGUGAAUGAAAGGCUCACUAGUGGGACUGACCCAACGGCUAUCGGCAAAUGUGAAUGAAAGGCUCACUAGUGGGACUGACCCAACGGCUAGUGGCAAAUGUGAAUGAAAGGCUCACUAGUGGGACUGACCCAAUGGCUAGUUGCAGAUAAAAAUGAAAGGCUCACUAGUGGGACUGACCCAACGGCUAGUGGCAAAUGUAAAUGAAAGGCUCACUAGUGGGACUGACCCAAUGGCUAGUGGCAGAUAAAAAUGAAAGGCUCACUAGUGGGACUGACCCAACGGCUAGUGGCAGAUAAAAAUGAAAGGCUCACUAGUGGGACUGACCCAACGGCUAGCGGCAAAUGUAAAUGAAAGGCUCACUAGUGGGACUGACCCAACGGCUAGUGGCAAAUGUAAAUGAAAGGCUCACUGGUGGGACAAACCUCACGCUCCAGUGGCUGUGAAAAUGAAAAUGCUCACUGACGGGACUAACCUCACGCUCCAGUGGCUUAUGAAAAUAAAAUGCUCACUGGCGGGACUAACCUCACGCUCCAGUGGCUGUGAAAAAUGAAGUGCUCACUGGCGGGACUAACCUCGGCUCCAGUGGCUGUGAAAAUGAAGUGCUCACUGGCGGGACUAACCUCAGCUCCAGUGGCUGUAAAAAUGAAGUGCUCACUGGUGGGACUAACCUCAGCUCCAGUGGCUGUGAAAAUGAAAAUGCCUUGACAAUCAGACAGUGGGAUCAAACUUGAGCCUGUCGUGAUGAACUUGAUUUGUUUUUUAUUUUUUCUUGAUUGAUUUUUUUUUUUUUUUUGAGAAACUUUCCAAAGAUAAUUUGCCCCACUAUGAUGAAUUGGUCAGUGGGAUUAAACCCAAACCUGCCUCAGUUACACAGAAUCCAAUCCCAAUCGGGAUGUUGGCGGCAUAAAGUCCAGGCCCAACGUGAUCUUUGGGAUGUUGGCGGCACGAAAUCCAGGCCCAACUUGACUUUUGAAAUGUUGGCGGCACGAAAUCCAGGCCCAACUUGAUUUUGGGAAUGGUCAGGAAUGGGGGAAUAGAAGGUUGCACGGCGUACAUUGAAGCUUCGCCGACAAGAAAAUCAAUUUUGAAUUUUCAAAACACAAGAAAUUGAAUUUGAUUUUUUCCUGAUUUUUUAUUUUUUGAUUUUUUCUGAUUUUUUCUUUUUUUUCUUGAUUGAAAGAAACUUGUCAAAAAUAAUUUGCCCCAGUGUCGGGCCAUUUUCCUUCUUUUUUCUUUCUUCUCUUUUCAAUUAUCGACCUUCCAUAUCACCAGAUGCUUUUCGUUGAUUUCAGCCACAAAUACCUGCACAGGGGUUUACCAAAAUGCAAUAUGCACUCCAAUUCUUUUUUUAUUUUGAAAAUUAAUACAACUACUACUCAUGAAAGGAGCAGCGUGAUUGAUUCGAAAUCUUCAAAUGUAUUGCAAAAAAAAUUUGCCUCGGUGUGGGCUUAUUUUGUGAAAUCUCAUGAAUAAAAAUUUGCCCCAGUGUGGGCCCAUUUUGCAAAAUCUCAAAUGAAAACUUGCCCCAAUGUGGGCUCAUUUUGUAAGAUCUCUCAGAUGAAAACCUGCCCCAAUGUGGGCCCAUUUUGGAAAAUCUCUCAGAUGAAAACUUUGCCCCAAUGUGGGCCCCCUUGAUUGUAAAAAAAAACCGUUCAGAUGAUUCCCCAUUUAUUUGCACAAAGAGAAACCGCACUUUAUACAAUGUGAAGAAACUUAAACUUCAAGUUUGAACUCAUGCAGAAAUUUCAUGAUGAAUCCCUCAGAGUAACACCAAAUUCAAGAAGAUUUCUUCCUCACUUGUAGCAGCAACGCUUAGGGUAACGGGUCACCACUCUUGGUUGGCUCAUCUUUCAGGACCAAAUCAAGUGGGCGUUAUUUCUGAUUUGGAAAUGGCUAAGGAAAAAUGAAAGGUUAAGAUCUGUUCAACAUCACAUCUUAGUGAAAGCAAAUAGUUUGUCACUCUCAUUUCUUAAGAAAACUUAGUCAACAUACAAGCUUUAUCAGCUUGUAACAUAUGGGGUAAAAACGAUAGCUAAACAUGCGGCAACAAGCUAUAGCCUUAUGAUCCCGAAUGAUUGAGGGAUUCCUCAGAAGCAUAAUCUUCACUUCGAAUUGUUAUGAAGGAUAGUCAACGAUGGACUUUGUGAGCUUGUAAUGCGGCUUGAAAACGAUAGUUUAAAGAAUAAGAUUUUCAAGGACAUUGCACUGAAGAUCGCAUUUUUCCAAAAUUGCUCAUUGUUUGAACUCGAAGAUCCUGGACUUUAUUUGACUUUCAUCAUUACUCAACAGGGACUUCAGUAUCGAAUCCUCCCUUCGCAUUUUCCUUUGCAUUUAUUUUUCGCUUUUCUCUUUUCUCUUUUUCCAAAGAUGCCCCGCGGGUUUUCACAUGAUGAGCAGCGUCAACUACACAGCUAAUAGAUUCAGAAAUACAUUUGAAAAAUUUCUUGGCAUCAGUAUAGGAGCAUCACCUGCCAAUUAGAAAAUUUCUUGACAGAGAUAUUGCAAAGAAACAGAAGUCAGGGCUUUCGGCUUUUGUAAUGAGGUCAGGUGGGGUGUUCAGAAAAGUUAAGGCUUGAAAGCGGAUUUCAAAAGCGGUUUGAAUGAUCUGAGAUCGCAUUAUUGUGCCAACCCUCUUUUAGGGUUAAAUCAGAACUUGCCCCAGUUUAUUCUCAAUUGAGGCUCUUUUCCUUUGCUUUUUUUUUUUGGCCUUUUGCCAUUCUUUGAAACUUUCACAAAAUUUGCCCUAGUUUAUUUUUGAACUGAGGUUCUCUUUUCUUCUUUUGCUUUUGAUUUUGUUGCAUUAUCACUUUUCACUUCUUGAAACUUUUCCUUUUCAACUCAAACUUGCCCCAGUGUGGGGUUUACGAUUCUCAGGGGUUGCCAAAUGAAGUAUUUUAUUCUGAAGGCUCAAAAGGGAUAACUAGGGAUAGAAUGCUUGAUCUGAAAAAGAAGAGGGUCUGACUUUUAUUCCGUUCCUUAUAUUAGCUCUGAAAGGAAACUUCUAUUAAUGCGAAAUUUUUUGCAUGCAUCUGAAUUAAUUGACUGAGGAGAACGCUUGUGAUCCGCCGGACAAAGCUCUUCCUUUUCUUUUUCCUUCUUUUUUCUUUUUUCCAGAAUUGAAUCCCAAAUAGAAUCAAAAUUCCCCAAUUUGCGGUUCCCCUUUUCCUUUUAAGCAAUUUUUGCUUUUUCUUGGAAAAUUCUCCAAUCUCCCAAUGUGGGGUGCGAUCGUAAGUGCCUUGUGAAACGAACCACCGAUUUUAGCUCAAAUGAGGAUGCAAGGGGUAAAAUAGUGUUUAGAUUGUAGAAACGAUGGCCAAAGCAUCAUUCUUACACCUCAUGACAACCAAAGUAACGAAUUGCUCAUUGAAAAAUCCAUUCCCUUUUGAUAUUUGAAAAUUUUUCCAAUGAAGGGCAGUGAUCGUUAAGACUCUUAUUUGAAACGAAAUUAUUCUUUUAAAGGCUCAAAGGGGAGAGCAACUGAUAAAAUCUGAAAUGGGUAGAGAAACGAACGCUCGAAGUAUCAUCCCAAAUUUCCAAAACAAACAAGAACAAUGCACAUUUUUGCUUUCACUUAGAUGUGAUUUGAAUAUAGCUAGACACAGUGGACAUAUCUCAAGCAAAGAUUGCCCCAAUUUGCAAUUUAUCAAUCAAUGUGACUGAUUUUAUUUUGGGGUCGAUAGAAGUGGGCAAAAUAUGAAUUGUACAGUGAAGGAGAAAAGGUAUCUCAUUGGGCCUUUCAAGUGACCUCUCUUAUUUUUGAGCACUUUUAUUGUACAGCUCGAAUCACCAAUCGAGUGUAAGGAUUUUAGAAAGCAUACACUUGUGAAUUUUCAGGCUGGAGGUUGCGGAAAUCUCAAUUUGGUCUUAUUUUCUUAAAAUUCAUCAUGAAAUCUCCAAUGAGCCAAAGAAUGAAAUGUACAUGAAUAUACACAAAACAAUAAUUAUCCAAAAACUUUAUUGCUGAAAAAGUUUAGAACAAAAUUUCUCGUUCAAUUAUAAUACAAAUGAGAAGUGAAAAACUUCUAAAAGCUCCACAUAUAUACACUUUUUGACUCCCUUUCUUUUGGAACAAGAAUGUAUUAACAAAUCCAAUACAGAAUUUUCUUUGAGAAACAAUUAUGAAAUCUCUGAGAAGCUCUUAGCCUAGAGCUUUCAGAUGGAUCUUUCAUGUUUUCAUGGCAAAACCUGCCCAGGAAUCAAGUGAUACUUUCCGAACUUUAUCGGCUCAAAAAAUUGUUAUCCAAUAUAGGGAAAUAUUUUCACCUUAUUGAAACAUUUUUAUGAAUGCAGGGGAAGGGGAAAACAAAAGAAAAAUACCCUGAGUUAGUAAGCAAGAUUAUAAAACCGGUAUGCAUGUCCUAUGGGGGAACCCUUUUACGCCAAGGGUAGGCCUAGCAUGAAAAUGCAAUCCUCCAGGGUAGGCACUAUACACUACCUGAUGAAUCCGAUCAACCGCUAGAUUGAAAAAUGAUUUGGAAAAAUUGGGCCAAUUGGUGUGAGAAAAAACAUUUGUUCCAAAAAUAGGGGCAAAGUCCGGCCCUAAAAUUGAAUUGGAUAAGAUUGAUGAUUUAUUCAAAAAAUGACCGAAUUGCCCUAAAAAAUAGGUAAACUGGUCGAAAUAAAUUGAAUGAAAUUUGAUUUAUUCAAAAUUGAUCGAAUCACCCUAAAAAAAGGUAGAUUGGUCAAAUGGAUUGAAUGAAACUUCAUUUAUUCAAAAUCGGUUCGAUUGCCCUAAAAAUGGGUGAAUUGGCCAGGUGAAAAAUGGAGUUAAUGAUUUAUUCAAAAAUCAGCCGAAUUGCCCUAAAAGAGUAAAUUGGUCAAAUGAAUUGAUGAUUUAUUCAAAAAUCGACCGAAUGACCCUAAAAAGGGUAAAUUGGUCAAAUGAAUUGAUGAUUUAUUCAAAAAUCGACCGAAUGACCCUAAAAAGGGUAAAUUGGUCAAAUGAAUUGAUGAUUUUUCAAAAAUCGACCGGAUGACCCUAAAAAGGGUAAAUUGAUCAAAUGAAUGAAGUUAAUGAUUUAUUCAAAAUUGAAUGAAUUGACAAAAUGGAUUGGAUAAGAUGGAUGAUUUAUUCAAAAAUCGAUUGAAUUAUCUACCCAUUAGGUAGUUUCAAAAAAUCACAAUGCCUUAGUCUAUGAGCCUCCUAAAAUCAAGAUUUGGCCUCAAUCCAUUAAUCGUCUCAACGAUGAGGAAUUAUUUGUGAAUUUCUUCAAAUUAAUGUCCUUUUACGCAAGGAAUUUUUACCAAGUUUUGAUAACAUGGCCAAAAAGUGAUUAUUAGACGCUCAUAUUCCAAAGAUUGCUCUAUUGAAAAUGAUCGAACUCUACCUUACCUCGUGCACCACCCCUUUGGAUAGUACAAAAUGUAAACGUGCAAGUCUUCUUGGAUUAAGUAUCCGAGACAUGAGGUGGCUUAUUCCUAACUACGGGAUUCCCUAUGCGGCAUUCCCUUUCUAUGGCUUAUGCGUGAUGCCAGUUAUUAAAGCGAUGUAAAUAUGUGACAAAUAUGGCCUAAAGGACAUGAAUAAUGCAUCGGGGGGAAAAGGUCUAAAAUG
rnacentral:lncRNA from 1 species